rnacentral:rRNA from 1 species
UACGAAGGGGGCUAGCGUUGCUCGGAAUUACUGGGCGUAAAGGGCGCGUAGGCGGACAGUUUAGUCAGAGGUGAAAGCCCAGGGCUCAACCUUGGAAUUGCCUUUGAUACUGGCUGUCUUGAGUUCGGGAGAGGUGAGUGGAAUGCCGAGUGUAGAGGUGAAAUUCGUAGAUAUUCGCAAGAACACCAGUGGCGAAGGCGGCUCACUGGCCCGGAACUGACGCUGAGGUGCGAAAGCGUGGGGAGCAAACAGG